GUGAGUGGCGCUGUUUCCACUGAACUCCAUUCAAGCUAUGACUGAAGCAGCUGCAGUACCCGCUCUGACCGCUGAAUAGAGGUGAACGGUUUGUUGGCGUGGACGCAGACAGAACAGCAUCACAGAGAUCAACAGCUCCUGCGAGGCGUUCACUGACCUUGGGACAAGUCGUUUAUCUCAGGAGGCUCUUUUCUGAGCCAGAUUUACUCCAAAUAGAGUCGCUGCUGUUUAUUGUUUUAUUCUGGUUUUCAGACCUGAAACAGCUUCUUCUGGACUCUGCUAGUUCACAUUAUUUAUAUUUUAUAAGAACACAACAUGUGGUCGAGGUCCAGAACAACAACCAGAACUUCAACAAAAGAAGAACUUCAGAAAGUUUGGAGGAUCGUUGAUCAAGACCACUUUAAAGGAUCAUGUAGGACUUUUAAGUACUCUGCUUUUUGCUUUUAUUUUUUUGGUUCUUGGUCUGUUUUGUAGUUAGUACCCUGUAGUACUCUACAGUUCUCUGUAGUACAAGUACACAGCAGUAGCAAAUGAAAACAGUAUAAAGUACAACCUCACAGUUCUUUUUACCUUUUUCCUGAGUCGAACCUGCUGCUGAGAGCCUGAAGACAGGUUCCUAGAGUCCAUGAUCCUGUGGAGUUCUAGUGGGGUCUGGAGGUCCAGCAGAGUCCUGAUGGUCCAACAGAGUCCUGGUGCUGCAGUCAGCCAGAGGCCAGCAGUGAUGUGGGUCUGAUGGGGCUGCAGGGAACAACAGAACUUUUGUUUUAUUGUUGACUGUUGUACCAGGCUGAACGCUGUGUGUGUGUGUGUGUGUGUGUGUGUGUGUG